AUAUUGGACAAUGGGCGCAAGCCUGAUCCAGCCAUGCCGCGUGAGUGAUGAAGGCCUUAGGGUUGUAAAGCUCUUUCACCGGUGAAGAUAAUGACGGUAACCGGAGAAGAAGCCCCGGCUAACUUCGUGCCAGCAGCCGCGGUAAUACGAAGGGGGCUAGCGUUGUUCGGAAUUACUGGGCGUAAAGCGCACGUAGGCGGACAUUUAAGUCAGGGGUGAAAUCCCGCAGCUCAACUGCGGAACUGCCUUUGAUACUGGGUGUCUAGAGUAUGGAAGAGGUAAGUGGAAUUGCGAGUGUAGAGGUGAAAUUCGUAGAUAUUCGCAAGAACACCAGUGGCGAAGGCGGCUCACUGGCCCGGUACUGACGCUGAGGUGCGAAAGCGUGGGGAGCAAACAGG
rnacentral:rRNA from 1 species